CGCGUAGGCGGUGAACUAAGUUAGUUGUGAAAUACCAGAGCUUAACUUUGGGGAGUCAACUAAGACUGGAGCACUAGAGUACAGUAGAGGGGAGUGGAAUUUCCGGAGUAGCGGUGAAAUGCGUAGAUACCGGAAGGAACACCAGAGGCGAAGGCGACUCUCUGGGCUGUAACUGACGCUGAGGCGCGAAAGCGUGGGUAGCAAACAGGAUUAGAUACCCUGGUAGUCCACGCUGUAAACGAUGAGUACUAGCUGUUUUUUCGGAAGAAGAAGUAGCGAAGCAAACGCGAUAAGUACUCCGCCUGGGGAAUACGGUCGCAAGAUUAAA
rnacentral:rRNA from 1 species